AGCGCAGACGGUUGAUUAAGUCUGAUGUGAAAGCCCGGAGCUCAACUCCGGAAUGGCAUUGGAAACUGGUUAACUUGAGUGUUGUAGAGGUAAGUGGAACUCCAUGUGUAGCGGUGGAAUGCGUAGAUAUAUGGAAGAACACCAGUGGCGAAGGCGGCCUACUGGACAACAACUGACGUUGAGGCUCGAAAGUGUGGUAGCAAACA
rnacentral:rRNA from 1 species